CGGUGUUUAACUGGCGUGAUGUGGGACGUCCUACCGGUGGGCUUAGCCUCGCGAGGGGCGGCCCAACUAAUAUCCCGUCGCGGUGCUCUUUACUGAGUGUCGAGUCGGGCCGGUACGUUUACUUUGAACAAAUUAGAGUGCUUAAAGCAGGCUAUCCUCGCCUGAAUACUGCGUGCAUGGAAUAAUGGAAUAGGACCUCGGUUCUAUUUUGUUGGUUUUCGGAACCCCGAGGUAAUGAUUAAUAGGGACAGAUGGGGGCAUUCGUAUUGCGACGUUAGAGGUGAAAUUCUUGGAUCGUCGCAAGACGGACAGAAGCGAAAGCAUUUGCCAAAAAUGUUUUCAUUAAUCAAGAACGAAAGUUAGAGGUUCGAAGGCGAUCAGAUACCGCCCUAGUUCUAACCAUAAACGAUGCCAGCUAGCGAUCCGCCGAAGUUCCUCCGAUGACUCGGGCGGGCAGCUUCCGGGGAAACCAAAGCUUUUGGGUUCCGGGGGAAGUAUGGUUGCAAAGCUGAAACUUAAAGGAAUUGACGGAAGGGCACCACCAGGAGUGGAGCCUGCGGCUUAAUUUGACUCAACACGGGAAACCUCACCAGGCCCAGACACCGGAAGGAUUGACAGAUUGAUAGCUCUUUCUUGAUUCGGUGGGGUGGUGGUGCAUGGCCGUUCUUAGUUGGUGGGAGCGAUUUGUCUGGUUAAUUCCGAUAACGAACGAGACUCUAGCCUGCUAAAUAGGCGUACCUUAUGGUAUCGCGAAGGCCCCCGGCUUCGGCCGGUGGGUUUUUACUACCAACGUACAAACAAAUCUUCUUAGAGGGACAGGCGG
rnacentral:rRNA from 1 species